rnacentral:rRNA from 1 species
CUCCUACGGGAGGCAGCAGUGAGGGAUCUUGCACAAUGGGGGCAACCCUGAUGCAGCAACGCCGCGUGGAGGAUGACGUCCUUCGGGAUGUAAACUCCUUUUCAGGGGGAGCAGGCA